rnacentral:rRNA from 1 species
UACGUAGGGUGCAAGCGUUGUCCGGAUUUAUUGGGCGUAAAGAGCUCGUAGGCGGUCUGUCGCGUCGGAUGUGAAAACCCAGGGCUCAACCCUGGGCCUGCAUUCGAUACGGGCAGACUAGAGUGUGGCAGGGGAGACUGGAAUUCCUGGUGUAGCGGUGAAAUGCGCAGAUAUCAGGAGGAACACCGGUGGCGAAGGCGGGUCUCUGGGCCGAAACUGACGCUGAGGAGCGAAAGCGUGGGGAGCAAACAGG